rnacentral:misc_RNA from 1 species
UUACUGGCAUAAAAAUAAUACCUCAGUUACAUAAUUUGAUAAACAUUUUACACAACCAUGUUGCAUUCAAUAUAUUUUGUCUUUGCUUGAAAGCUUUGAUCGAAUAUACAGAAAUUUUAUGCAGCAAUGGUAUACUAUUAGUUUUCAAUAUGUUUACCAAUUUAGCCAUACUUGGUCUAACUCGAUAAUAUCUUGGUGUGUGAAUAAUGCGUAACUCUUUAAAUGCUUCACAUUUCAUAAAAAGUGAUACUCGUCUUCGACUACUCUUUUAUUACAAAGUUCACACACUCCUUUUUGUCUUUCUAUGUCUCUAUGGCGACCAUAUUCAAUAUUAAACCAAUGAGAUAACACGCAGCUAUUUAGAUAUGUCGGCCUACGUAGUAUGGGAGAUAACCCGCUAUUUUUAAUUAUGUUGGAAAACACAAUAUUAGAUGAUACAAAAAAUGUACUUGAUGUUUAUUUUAUGUAAGUUGCACGUGGCUAAUCAUAUCUACAUUGGUACGUACUUCUAUCAAAUAAGAAAAUAGACUGUUUCUUGCAUAAUAUAAAUAGAAACAAUAUCAUUUAAUCAUUACCAGUAUUAUUUUAUUACUAUGCAUUAUGCUGUUUAUUUUGAGUCAAUGUUUCAGAUCUACGAUAUUGAGUAAUAGUUUUUCGUGUAUUCUGGCUGGUAAAAAUUGAUACAAUACCCUAAAAGUCUGCUGAUGUUAGCAAACAAAACAUUGUUUGAAAUUCAAUCAUUUCUACUGAUCAUAGAAGAUAACGACAAUGUCUGUAAAUUCAUGAUGAAAGCUUACAGCUGAUUUGAAUUACGUUCGAUUCCGACACCCCGCCCCUCCUCUCCUCAAUCCAACAACCCGAAAAAAAAAACAGUAUAUUUUCUCAUCAGAAGGUGUGGUCGCGGCCUUGUGGUCCUAAGACCAAGGUCCUCCAGCAUCAGCGGCCGUUCAUGUACCACAUUUUUACCACAUUUUAAUCAUUACACAACUAUGUUUCUUCCCGACAUAUACGAUUUAAUUGCCGUUCUCCUGCCAAUGUCUGAGACCAUUUUUUAGAACUAUUAUAACUAAUUAAAAUAACUAAAUUAAUCCCGCGCAGAUAACAAUCUGAUAACACGAAUGUAUCUAUUUCAAUCUAUUAUCAGCAUUAUAUCAUUAUUUGUAUUUAUAUUUAUUUGUAAUCCACGCAAUACUUACACUGAGUAUUUUUCAUGAAUUUUAUUUAUAAAUUUUAUCUUGAUUAAUUUCACAAAAAUAACAGAAUAGGUCCAGACGCCUUUGCCAAUAUUUGAAACAGUGUCGGAUAAAUUAUACUUGCGAAUUAAAUUGAUCCUGAAAUUUUAGAAUCAUGGUUAUAAGGCAAUUAUGAUGCCUUGUCACCCUUGAAGUUGUUCAGUUCGAGCCAUUGUGAUGACUGGGUUGACCGACUGAGUCAUGUCGUCACGGUUUUACUUCUCUUGGCGUUCCGCCAUUACUGUCAGUACGACACAUAUAGUUGAACCACCAAUAUCGUGCUUGGUACCAGCCGAAUUUGACAAGGGAACCGGAUCUUUUGAAGACUAUGUUAAUACAUAUUGUUGGUCGAAGAACACUUAUUACUAUACCAAUGCUUGAGGAGAUUCCGACGGACGUACUACAUCGGCAGCAAGAAGAGAUCACGUACUACCAAUGGGUGCCACUGAUAUUCCUUCUUCAGGCGUUAUUAUUCAAACUUCCACAUAUUUUGUGGAAAAUACUACGUAACAACUGUGGCCUGGACCUUGGAAAACUUUGCAAGACUGCCUGGAAAUACACAAUGUCACUCCCCAGCAGAGCGGAGCGAAACCAUUUCUGUCAUUGUGUUUUCUAUUUUGUGCUGGAUUAAAGGUCGGCAACGGUAUAUUAAGAAGAAUGCGUGCGUACGUGCUAAAACUUGGCUGUCGCGAUUCUGUUGUUUCUAUGGCAACAAACGAGGAAGGAACUUUCUUAACGGCCUUAUAUCUGGCAAUCAAACUUCUCUAUCUUACUAAUGUCAUUGGACAAGUAUUUCUUCUGAAUGCAUUUAUCACGACAGAUAAAAGUGUGUUACGCUCUUGAAUGGUUAGGCUCCUUUCACUCUAGGCUCAUCCUUCGUGGAGAGUAAACGAUUCCCGAAAGUCACACUCUGUGACUAUCAAAUCCGGCAAAUGAACAACGUGAAAAGAUAUACCGUGCAAUGUGUACUACCAAUUAACAUGUUCAAUGAGAAGCUAUUUCUGUUCCUUUGGUUUUGGUUCUGUCUUCUUGCCAUACUAAAUGUCUUCAGCAUGGCCAAUUGGCUUUAUCUUAUAAUAUGGAAGAAAAAUAACUACAACUUCGUCAUGAAAUAUUUUAAAAUUGAUGGACAGAGAUUGAAACAAGCAGACAAAGAGGCCUGCAAGAAAUUUACUGAAGAUUUUCUUCGGGAUGACGGAUGUUUUCUAGUGAGGAUGGUAGGGAUGAAUUCCUCGGAACUUGUAGUGAUUGACCUACUCAAGGAACUGUUUACCCAGUAUAAGAAAGACCAAAAGCAAUCUAGAGCCACUUCACAUGAUGACCAAAACGAGACCGAACAGAAAAAAGUCAAGUAGAAUACGUUACAGCUAAUGAGAGUUUUCUCAUAUAGACCGACACUGAAAUUCAUACAGAACUGAAACAAAAGCAUACAUGAUUUAAGAAUCCUUAGUUAGGUCACCAUAUUCUGACUAAAACAAUGUGAAAGGUCAAAUUUUAUUCCACUUUGCGUCUAUUUGGUCUUUUUCCAUUGAAUAUCCGAAAAUAUGUAAAAGAAGUCGUCAGGAUUUAGAUGCAAUUUCGAAACAUAUUUGCGGUACUCUCUCUCUCUCUCUCUCUCUAUUUAUUAUCAAAUAAUAACGAAUACUCAUUGCUCAUAUUAAUGUCAUUUCACACGUGUUUGUACAUCGUAUGCUCUGCCACUACAUACUUUCACCCAAUAUCAAAAUUCUUCAAGCGAACAUGAAAAAAUAUCCGCAUCAAGAAAUGAACCGGAAGUCUUCACUCGUACUUUCAUAAAGGAACAAUACAAACGAGCCUUAGACAACCAAUAACAUAUCAGAUAGAUUCUCCCCAUAAAGCAGGAAAAAUGGUCAGUAAAACAGAAAGAAAAAAUAAAAUGCUUGCACAAACUUUCUUUGAAUGGGAACUCUUAGGAAUUGUAUGCCAGAAGUCCCAAUGGUGGUUCAUACCUGUCUAAACGUACAUUAAAUUCAUGCAAUCCUUAGAGUUUAUAUUUUUACAAAAGUUUUGCUUUAAAAAUAAGUUCUUUAUUUCCACGAGUGUCAAACUAAUGAUCUUUACAACAUCUAGAUGAAACUGCUAAAAUACCCGUCCAUGUUAUAUUGUAAUUCGACUUCCUAUAAAAAUAACUAUCCUGAAAAUAACUUCAUAUUUCCUUAAAAUCCAAUAAAAAUUACAUAACCUUGUCGACUCGGCAUUAAGCUUUAGCUGUAAACUAAAGUAUAGUUUUAUCAUUUUGGUUUCCGAUUUGGAAAUGUGUUCUUUAUGAAUGACAUCAGAUAGCGCUCAAUGAGCAGUUCAUCUCGUUGAGUAUAUAAACGGAAACUUUUCUUCGAAUUAAAUCGGCUUUAUGUCCACAUCCGUCGUUCAAAGUAUAUUCUAAUUCUGUAGCAAACAAAACCUUUAACGCCACUUCGAUAUUCAUAUAAUUUAUACUAACUUCAUUUAAGAGAAAAAUGGAAUGAAUGAAUUUAAGUCAUGUAAAAUGUCGAUUCCUGCGUCUAACAUAUCCAAGCGUUUAUUGACAUUUCAGCACAUCACUUUAUUGUUGGGCUUCUUGGGUUCAUUGAAGCACAUUUCUGAUCAUUUCAUUGCUAGCUAGCGAGAUUUGUUAAUGCCAUUUUCGUGUUGUUUCACUGUUUGUAGAUUAACCUUUUCCUCAUGUUAGUUUAGUCAUUACAACGACCUUUUAAUUGUCAUUUCAGUGCGUUUAAUUUUGUUUCGUUGCAUAUUUAAAAACCUUUUCGCAUACUUUUCGUUCAGUUGCCUGUCAUUCCUUUAAAUUGUAUCCAUUCGUAUUAAACAACCGUUUUUGUAUACAUCUAUGUUGUAAUGUUUUGUAACCAGUUACUAGAUCUCUGUUUAUUAAACUUCCCGUUAACACUAUUUUCGUCCAUAUCAUCUUCCAUCGUCAAGUUUUUGAUCCAUUAUUGAUGAACUCUUUUCUGCAUUCUUACAUUUAAACUUUCGUGUUCUUUUUUUUUUCAGAGACGCUGUCGAAUUGUAUAUGUUUUACAUUUGCAUUUUUCUGCGUUGUUAUUUUAUCUUUAGCGGUA